CGAUUGCCAGUUUAUCAUUCUCUGCUCUGUACAGACCAUUAGACAGAGGCAGAUCAUGGCUUUCCCGAGCUUCUUCACAACCGCCCCUUCUCCGUCCCAUGCAGCGCAAGGUGCUGAGCUUCUGCACUUGUGGGGGAUAAUGUAGAGAACCCACUGGAGACCAGAGCCACAAAUAAACUCUGCCAGGGAACGACCCUUCCACACUGGAACAGAUUAUCCGCCCCGCUGGGCCGGUGUCCCGCCUUCAGCAGCGACUCCAGUGAUACAGGGUCAGGGGAAUCCAUUGUCCUCCCCUCCCACUGUACAGUGCAACAAACCAAUUGAACAGCUGUGGGGAAUCUGAUGGAAAAAUGUUUCAAGAGUGUCCUCAUGGGAUAAAAAUACCUGAGGCCGUCACCACUUACUCCUAGCCCAGCAACGCACCGACUGUCCCCGGCUGCCUGUGGGGUGGGUGCCAGUGAGCUGAGGAUUACUUGGAGCCUAUCAGAGGCCUCCAGAUUUGCAUUCAGGAUGUCUGCUCACAUCACAGGGUUUAAGAAGCAAGCGGAGAAGGCACCACUGAAUUCAGAGACCGCUUUGGCUGGGUGUGCGGUUCCUAGGAUGGCUUGGGUCACCACUCUGCUCGUUCUGGUAGCCUGUUGGGCAGGCUCCAGCUGCCAGUUAACUUUGACUCAGCCAUUCACUAUGUCAGUGACUCCAGGAGAAACUGCCCAACUCGCAUGUGUUCUGAGCAGUGGAUACAGCAUCAGCAAUGCCUACAUACGCUGGUACCAGCAGAAGCAAGGGGAGAAACCAAGAUACCUGCUGACUUACAAGGAUGACUCUACCCAGCAUAAAGGCUCUGGUGUCCCUGACAGGUUCACGGCCUCUAAAGACACUUCCAGGAACACCUGCUUUUUAACUAUCAGCAGGGCUCAAGGGGAGGACGAUGCUGAUUACUACUGCUCAGACUGGAAUGACAGAACUAACCAGUACACAGUGAUACAGCUGCAUAGAGAAGAGGAACAAAACCCCCUCUCACCCAUAGUGACACAGUGCCUGGAGCCCACCUGUGUGUCUCUUGUUCCUAUGAGAUGGCCCGGUGGAUUGGCUCCUGGCUAAAUGUGAUCUCCAAUAACUGUCAGUCCUCAUUGCCUUUCAAAGCCGUGGGGUUUACUGACACAACGUCACUGGCCUGAUGCAGAGACUGUGUUAAAGACGGUAAGGAAAUCAAACCAGGGCACUAGAGAUCACAGCCCCUAGGAUACCAGCGGGAACCAUUCCACAGUAGGCAUUAUACUGUGAUAUGGGACCAGCCGAAGCUGUUUUUUGAAGAUCUCUUCUGGCUAAUGGCUGGUACCGUUAUUACACUUCUAGCUCCGGAUCAUAGUUCUGCGGAGU